rnacentral:tRNA from 1 species
UCCUUGGUAGCUUAACUAGUAAAGAAUCUGCCUGCAAUGCAGGAGACCCCGGUUCGAUUCCUGGGUUGGGAA